AUGCAUGUCUAAGUAUAAGCACUUGUACUGUGAAACUGCGAAUGGCUCAUUAAAUCAGUUAUCGUUUAUUUGAUUGUACCCCUUACUACUUGGAUAACCGUGGUAAUUCUAGAGCUAAUACAUGCGAAAAGUCCCGACUUCUGGAAGGGAUGUAUUUAUUAGAUUCAAAACCAAUGCGGGUUCUGCCCGGUUGUUUGGUGAUUCAUAAUAACUGUUCGAAUCGCACGGCCUCGCGCUGGCGAUGUUUCAUUCAAAUUUCUGCCCUAUCAACUGUCGAUGGUAAGGUAUUGGCUUACCAUGGUUACAACGGGUGACGGAGAAUUAGGGUUUGAUUCCGGAGAGGGAGCCUGAGAAACGGCUACCACA
rnacentral:rRNA from 9 species